rnacentral:rRNA from 1 species
AAAUUGACGGGACCCCGCACAAGCGGUGGAUCAUGUGUUUAAUUCGAUGAUACGCGAAGAACCUUACCAGGCUUGACAUCCCUUGCAAAGCUAUGGAGACAUAGUGGAGGUUAUCAAGGAGACAGGUGGUGCAUGGUUGUCGGUCAGCUCGUGUCGUGAGAUGUUGGGUUAAGUCCCGCAACGAGCGCAACCCUUAUUGCUAGUUACCAUCAUUAAGUUGGGGACUCUAGCGAGACUGCCAGUGAUAAACUGGAGGAAGGUGGGGAUGACGUCAAAUCAUCAUGCCCCUUAUGACCUGGGCUACAAACGUGAUACAAUGGCUGAAACAAAGGGCAGCGAAGCAGUGAUGUGGAGCGAAACCCAAAAAAGCAGUCUCAGUUCGGAUUGAAGUCUGCAACUCGACUUCAUGAAGUUGGAAUCGCUAGUAAUCGUAGAUCAGAACGCCACGGUGAAUACGUUCUCGGGGUUU